AGUGAACGCUGGCGGUAGGCCUAACACAUGCAAGUCGGACGGCAGCACAGUAAGAGCUUGCUCUUACGGGUGGCGAGUGGCGGACGGGUGAGGAAUACAUCGGAAUCUACUUUUUCGUGGGGGAUAACGUAGGGAAGCUUACGCUAAUACCGCAUACGACCUACGGGUGAAAGCAGGGGAUCUUCGGACCUUGCGCGAUUGAAUGAGCCGAUGUCGGAUUAGCUAGUUGGCGGGGUAAAGGCCCACCAAGGCGACGAUCCGUAGCUGGUCUGAGAGGAUGAUCAGCCACACUGGAACUGAGACACGGUCCAGACUCCUACGGGAGGCAGCAGUGGGGAAUAUUGGACAAUGGGCGCAAGCCUGAUCCAGCCAUACCGCGUGGGUGAAGAAGGCCUUCGGGUUGUAAAGCCCUUUUGUUGGGAAAGAAAUGCAGCAGGUUAAUACCCCGCUGUUCUGACGGUACCCAAAGAAUAAGCACCGGCUAACUUCGUG
rnacentral:rRNA from 1 species